rnacentral:ncRNA from 1 species
UGUCGUUGCUAUGGUAAUCCUGCUUAGUACGAGAGGAACCGCAGGUUCAGACAUUUGGUUUAUGUGCUUGGUCGAAAGACCAAUGGUGCGAAGCUACCAUCUGAGGGAUUAAGACUGAAAGCCUCUUAAGUCUGAAUCCCGCCCAGAAAUGCAACGAUACUAUCGGUGCCCCUACGCCGGGAGGCAACGAUAUACUCGGCCCGAAAUCCGAUUUCGGCGGCCGAGACUGGCUAAAGCCACUGCGAUACUGGCCACACCCGCUGUCUUGAAAUUUGGCAGUGGAGGCACAGACACGAUACCACUUGAUUGAGACGUAGGGGUUCUAUAUCGUUUGUAGACGACUUAGAUCUCGGUCGGGGUGCCGUACUUAGUUGAGCAGUUCUUCACUGCGAUCUAUUGAGGCUAAGCCUUUUGACGGGGAGAUAU